rnacentral:misc_RNA from 1 species
UCUCCGUUGGUGAACCAGCGGAGGGAUCAUUACCGAGUUUAUAACUCCCAAACCCCUGUGAACAUACCAUUUGUUGCCUCGGCGGUGCCUGCUUCGGCAGCCCGCCAGAGGACCCAAACCCUUGAUUUUAUACAGUAUCUUCUGAGUAAAUGAUUAAAUAAAUCAAAACUUUCAACAACGGAUCUCUUGGUUCUG